rnacentral:rRNA from 1 species
CCUACGUGAGGCAGCAGUGGGGAAUAUUGGGCAAUGGAGGCAACUCUGACCCAGCAACGCCGCGUGAAUGAUGAAGGUCUUCGGAUUGUAAAGUUCUUUUCUAAGGGCAGAAGAAAGUGACGGUACCUUAGGAAUAAGCCUCGGCUAACUACGUUCCAGCAGCCGCGGUAAUACGUAGGAGGCAAGCGUUAUCCGGAAUGACGGGGCGUAAAGGGUGCGUAGGGGGUUUGACAAGUUAGUAGCGCAACUCCGGAGCUCAACUUCGGAACUACUACUAAAACUGUUGGACUUGAGUGCAGGAGGGGAAAUCGGAAUUCCUAGUGUAGCGGUGGAAUGCGUAGAUAUUAGGAGGAAUACCGUUAGCGAAGGCGGCAAUCUGGCUGGAAACUGACGCUGAGGUGCGAAAGCGUGGGUAGCAAACAGGAUUAGAUACCCUGGUAGUC